GCCACUUCACCGGCCAGGUGGCACUACUUCACCACAUUCAGGAGCGACCCGGUCGCCGCAUCGAGUCUGCUACACUCUUGCAUCACCACCAAUCAUUAGGUAUUUUUAAACAGCCGGUGCACACGUCUGUAAUCCAAAAGCAGAAAACAAAUUGAGAAAAUGUGCAGAGUCCCACCCUUGACCAAAUACCCUUGCAAAUGCAACCUGACCAAUCGGAAUGCAUAUGAUGAGCUGAUAGCACACAUAAACUGCAGUAGGAUUAAGUCUUGGGGUUUUUUAAGCUACACACAGAAAGAGCUUAACCCAGACAAAAUGAAACUAAUUCAUGGAAUGGAAGGAUAUGUACAAACCUUUAGUUAACUAUUUAACUUUAAGAAAGGCUAUCGUAUGCAAGGGACAUAAAGAUGGUUAAUUUAGAUGUUCACACUGCGCAAUGAUUAGACAACAUGGGUUUACGUGGGAUGGUAAACAACCCAGUUACAAUGCCAGAAAGAACUUGAAAUUAACUCUGCUACUAUGCUUCAGAGACAUUAACUCUUCAAUCUACUGUAGCUAUCACAGAGUUUACAUGAGCAACUAUCACACAGGUACAUGGAAUCUUACCUUAAAUGUUUUCCACAAUGACAUCCAGCUAUCAAGGCUAAUCUCAAUAUAUCUUAGAACACCAAUGUUAUUUCCCUUAGUUCACCCGUUCCUGCAACAUCCAUGAAAAGAACACGAAUUUGCCCUUAGUUCAUAUAGCAUGCAACUUGCUCUCGCACUGAAAACCAGAAUAAGAUUUUGUCAGCAAAUAUUAUGAAGUAACAAAAGAAAACACAAAAUCCGAUCAUGUUAAUAGAGCACCAACAGAAUCUCUACUAUCAUUUGGACACUACAAGGAAUAAGAAUAAAUGACAUAUGAAAUCAGUGUUUUAACUUUACAUGUUUGAUAAAGAAAAUGCUACAGUGGGCCAUGAGAAGCAGAGUUCACCUGACUUGUUCAUGAAGAGUACAAAGGUCACGCAAAUCUUCUGUUGAAAGAGAAUUUCCGUGUAAAAGUGAAAACGGAGCCACGAGAAAUCAAUGUACUUGGUUGUUUGAAGGAUAAAAAAACAAAAGAUCACUAUAUGUACUUGAUCCUGCAUUUUGUCGUUCACUUGUUCGCGAUGAAUAACUGUCCUGAGGCAUUCUUUUGCCAUUUGACACUGAUAUACCUAUAGAUGAAUGUGGCAUGUCAUACUGUCAGUAGAAGAAAGUAACCAGCAACUCGCUAGAUAAUAUAAAAAAGUGAAAAGACAUGAAAAAUACAAGAUCCGCCUGACCGCCACAAGCCAUGUGGACGCAAACACCACAAGACAAGAGCAACAACACGUCCUACUAUUUGGGCAUUAUGCAUUCUAGGCGCAAAUCUGGCAAUCAAAUAGACAUAUAACUCCAUACAAAACAACUGCAUUCUGCAAUGUUGAACCAUGCACAAAUAGAUGCUCCAGGGCUAAAUUUCCAGGUAAAACAUAUAUGGUAGCAGUUGCCAAAAGAGACAUAUACUAUGCUCAAUACCACAUAGAAACGUUUCAAUGAAAAUAAAAGGCUGCUACAUGCAUCAAAAUAUCAUGACAUUAGCAUUUCACAAGACUUGCCAUCUCAGUUUUCAGUCCACUUCUAAUCUGCAAAAUAAGAGAAAAUCCAGAUUGAGACAGAGAUGGACCUGUAGAUCAUCGACAGUCACUUCGAUGAAUUAUUUCAUGAAAUCCAUCGUCACAUUCCCGAGAAAGCUAAAGUUCUGGUGUGAUAUCGGAAC
rnacentral:lncRNA from 1 species